AGGAUACAACCACAAUGGAAAAUUGAAAACUGUAAAUAAAGAAUAAGGAAGCUCCUUAGGUACUGAAAUGAUCUGGUGGGUACAGUACAUAAGUGGAAACAAGCUUUGGAAUUUUUAGAUGAAUGUGUUGCCUAUUCAAAAAAUAAAUACAUAAAAUAUGUAGAAAGGAUGAGAUUGGAAGAAAAGGUGAUCAGAACAUCAAAAUAAACGAAGACACCAUUACUCCUCUCAAGAACUCACUAUGUAGCAAGAGAGACAGCUAAAGAAGAAAUUACAACACUGGCCUUGGGUCUCUGGAGUAAUGAGAGCUGUGAUACAGAGACCUGCACAGCUGGCAAGAGUGCCCAUAGGAGCGGGGCCUUCAAAACGGAACCGCUAAACUGAGUAAUCAUGGAAUGUUCAUCCUGCAGGAAGCGUGAACAAAACGAGGUCGUACCGACUGAGAAGUUGGUGGCGUGAUUCCCGCGAGAAUUGACGAGAUCGAGUCUUGGGCAAGGGUGGUGGGAGGAGGCCCCCGGGGCGGAAGGCGCUUGGCUCCCCUCCGAGCCCCUCUGUGAGGGCGGGGCAGGAAAGAAUGGCCUAAAAGCCUUGACUUGGCGGUGUGAUUGCCCAAGACCGAGGGAAGAGGAAGAGGCCAGCGGGGAGGACAAGAAAUUCAGUUCCGGGUGUGGAUUGGAGGGGUUUGGGGGAGAUCCAGGCAGGAUGGAUGACUAAUUGGGUGGACACGUGAAUCGCGCUGGGGAAGGGGUCUGGCCCGAGCAUGGAUUGGUGAGCGUGGGCGCCAGGUGGUAGGGGGUGGUGGAUGAUGCACCAAAACAGAGCGGGUAACAAAGUGAGAAGGGUGCCAAGUCCGAAACCUGGAAUGUUGCCCCCUCUAGCCGGUCAGGAGACUUAAAGAGGAAAGAGACCUGGUGACGGACUGAGAAAGAGGAUUCCCAGAGCGGGGGAUGGGGGUUAGGGGGCUAGGAGAGAGUGGGGUCUUGGAACUCACCGAAGCUGCCUUUGGAAAUGGGACCCAGACCGUUUGCAGAGCACUUCCAACCCAAGAGUUUACGUGGUCCUCCCAAUAGCAAGGUAAAUAGAAGUACCUACUGGAAACCAGGCUCAGCUAACCAGCUGGCCCCACUAUAAACUGCUAGUUGAUAGCAGUACUGAACCCAGAUUUUCUGACACCAUGGCCAGGACUCUCUUCACUACCCAGCUUUCUUUUGGUUAAAGAAAAAAAAAGUUCCUCCUACCCUUUAUGAUGUACAAAGUCAGCAGGUUCUCCCAACCUGCUGGUUCUCCCCAACCCCACCUUCAAACCUUUGUUUGUGUAUAGUCCUUUGAUCCUAGAUGGCCCACCUCUUUUCCUCUUUGCUGGUCUAAAUUCUACUCCUUCAAGCUCUUGCUUAAAUCCCUCAGUAAAGCCUCCCCUGAGGAUUCCAAUUCACUCUGACUUCUCUUUUUUUUUUUUUUAGAUUCCUGUGGCAAAUACACCUUCCAGUGACAUCUCACACACACACACACACACACACACACACACACACCUUCCCGAGAGUCACACACUCGUAUAAUCUCCCACUGCGGGGGGCGG